rnacentral:rRNA from 1 species
UGGGGAAUUUUGGACUAUGGGGGAACCCUGAUCCAGCCAUCCCGCGUGUGCGAUGAAGGCCUUCGGGUUGUAAAGCACUUUUGGCAGGAAAGAAACGUCAUGGGUUAAUACCCCGUGAAACUGACGGUACCUGCAGAAUAAGCACCGGCUAACUACGUGCCAGCAGCCGCGGUAAUACGUAGGGUGCAAGCGUUAAUCGGAAUUACUGGGCGUAAAGCGUGCGCAGGCGGUUCGGAAAGAAAGAUGUGAAAUCCCAGAGCUCAACUUUGGAACUGCAUUUUUAACUACCGGGCUAGAGUGUGUCAGAGGGAGGUGGAAUUCCGAGUGUAGCAGUGAGAUGCGUAGAUAUGCGGAGGAACACCGAUGGCGAAGGCAGCCUCCUGGGAUAACACUGACGCUCAUGCACGAAAGCGUGGGGAGCAAACAGG